rnacentral:rRNA from 1 species
GAUGAACGCUGGCGGCGUGCCUAAUACAUGCAAGUCGAGCGAACGGACGAGAAGCUUGCUUCUCUGAUGUUAGCGGCGGACGGGUGAGUAACACGUGGAUAACCUACCUAUAAGACUGGGAUAACUUCGGAAAACCGUAGCUAAUACCGGAUAAUAUUUUGAACCGCAUGGUUCAAAAGUGAAAGACGGUCUUGCUGUCACUUAUAGAUGGAUCCGCGCUGCAUUAGCUAGUUGGUAAGGUAACGGCUUACCAAGGCAACGAUGCAUAGCCGACCUGAGAGGGUGAUCGGCCACACUGGAACUGAGACACGGUCCAGACUCCUACGGGAGGCAGCAGUAGGGAAUCUUCCGCAAUGGGCGAAAGCCUGACGGAGCAACGCCGCGUGAGUGAUGAAGGUCUUCGGAUCGUAAAACUCUGUUAUUAGGGAAGAACAUAUGUGUAAGUAACUGUGCACAUCUUGACGGUAGCUAAUCAGAAAGCCACGGCUAACUACGUG